rnacentral:rRNA from 1 species
GACGAACGCUGGCGGCGUGCCUAACACAUGCAAGUCGAACGGGGUAUUUCUUCGGAGAUACUUAGUGGCGAACGGGUGAGUAACGCGUGAGAAACCUACAUUUCAGUGGGGGACAAUAGUUGGAAACGACUGCUAAUACCGCAUAAUGUUAUUUAAGGGCAUCCUUGAAUAACCAAAGCUUUAUGUGCUGAAAGAUGGUCUCGCGUCUGAUUAGCUGGAUGGCGGGGUAACGGCCCACCAUGGCGACGAUCAGUAGCCGGUCUGAGAGGAUGAACGGCCACAUUGGGACUGAGAUACGGCCCAGACUCCUACGGGAGGCAGCAGUGGGGAAUAUUGGGCAAUGGGGGAAACCCUGACCCAGCAACGCCGCGUGAAGGAAGAAGGCCUUCGGGUUGUAAACUUCUUUUACCAGGGACGAAGAACGUGACGGUACCUGGAGAAAAAGCAACGGCUAACUACGUGCCAGCCGCCGCAGUAAUAC